UUCUGUGAUGAGACAGGAAGUGCCGUCUGAUGCGAUAACUGACGAUGGCAAACCAGAAUGAUUCUGAGA